GAGAAGCGAGGCUGUGAAGCGGAGCAAAUCUCAAAAACCGGUCCCAGUUCGGAUUGUAGGCUGCAACUCGCCUACAUGAAGUCGGAAUUGCUAGUAAUCGUAGGUCAGCAUACUACGGUGAAUACGUUCCCGGGCCUUGUACACACCGCCCGUCAAACCAUGAGAGUUGGCAACACCCGAAGUCGGUAGUCUAACCGCAAGGAGGACGCCGCCGAAGGUGGGGUUGAUGAUUAGGGUUAAGUCGUAACAAGGUACC
rnacentral:rRNA from 1 species